rnacentral:rRNA from 1 species
UACGUAGGCAGCGAGCGUUGUUCGGAAUUACUGGGCGUAAAGAGUGUGUAGGCGGUGCUCUAAGUUUGGUGUGAAAUCUCCCCGGCUCAACUGGGAGGGUGCGCCGAAUACUGAAUGACUAGAGUGCGGGAGAGGAAAGUGGAAUUCCUGGUGUAGCGGUGAAAUGCGUAGAUAUCAGGAGGAACACCGGUGGUGUAGACGGCUUUCUGGACCGUAACUGACGCUGAGACACGAAAGCGUGGGUAGCAAACAGG